rnacentral:sRNA from 1 species
UACGACUAAUACGAUCCGUCAAUAGGAAAUACUCAGACUCAGACCACCAAUUCAAAUGGAAACUGGGGAAACUCACGAGAAAAACAUUGUUUUAUGAUUUUUACCAGUAAUCCUCCACUCUUCCUGCGAGGAAUCCCAUGUCAUCCAACAUCAGGGAUUUGAAGCAAACUUUAUGGUGUGGCGCAACUGGCAAGUGGCAAGCGGCAAGCGGCAAG